UACGGAGGGGGCAAGCGUUGUUCGGAGUCACUGGGCGUAAAGGGCGCGUAGGCGGUGCGUAAAGUCAGGCGUGAAAGCCCCGGGCUUAACCUGGGAAUUGCGCUUGAUACUGACGUGCUAGAGAACGGGAGAGGAUGGCGGAAUUCCCAGUGUAGAGGUGAAAUUCGUAGAUAUUGGGAAGAACACCGGUGGCGAAGGCGGCCAUCUGGACCGUUUCUGACGCUGAGGCGCGAAAGCGUGGGGAGCAAACGGG
rnacentral:rRNA from 1 species